rnacentral:rRNA from 1 species
GAGACUCUGUGCGCGUGCAUAUCAAUAAGCGGAGGAAAAGAAACUAACAAGGAUUCCCCUAGUAACGGCGAGUGAAGCGGGAAGAGCUCAAAUUUGAAAUCUUCAAGGUUUGACCUUGACGAAUUGUAGUUUAAAGAAGUGUUUUCGGUUAGAGGAGUAGUAAAAGUUCUUUGGAAUAGGACAUCAUAGAGGGUGAGAAUCCCGUAUUUGACUAUUCUUUCUAGCUUUGUGAUACACUUUCAAAGAGUCGGAUUGUUUGGGAAUGCAGUCCAAAAUGGGUGGUAAAUUUCAUCUAGAGCUAAAUAUUGGCGAGAGACCGAUAGCGAACAAGUACCGUGAGGGAAAGAUGAAAAGAACUUUGAAAAGAGAGUUAAACAGUACGUGAAAUUGUCAAAAGGGAAGCGUUUGACACCAGUGUUGUUUUUCUGAAAAUCAAUUAAAAAUUGAUUCAUGCCAGGUUGUAUUGACCUUAUCAGCUUGCAAUUUGGUUUUGGGUCUCUUUUUGAUGCACUUUUCGGUUAACAAGUCAACAUCAAUUUCCUUUGCUGUAAAAAGGUAAGAGGAAGGUGGCUUCAAUUUCGGUUGAAGUGUUUAUAGCCUUUUAUCUCUGCAGUCGGGGAGAUUGAGGUCUGCAGCGUAGAUCCUUCGGGGCUAGAUACAUUUAUGCUAAGUUAUAGCUUUUCAUAGACAACUUGUUGACUAUGUUUAGUCAUGUAGCUUACUCGUAAGUGCUAUUUUACCUACGCUUAGGAUGUUGAACUCUAUCACACACAG